GUGGGGAAUAUUGGACAAUGGGCGAAAGCCUGAUCCAGCCAUGCCGCGUGUGUGAAGAAGGUCUUCGGAUUGUAAAGCACUUUAAGUUGGGGGGAAGGGCAGUAAGUUAAUACCUUGCUGUUUUGACGUUACCAACAGAAUAAGCACCGGCUAACUUCGUGCCAGCAGCCGCGGUAAUACGAAGGGUGCAAGCGUUAAUCGGAAUUACUGGGCGUAAAGCGCGCGUAGGUGGUUCAGCAAGUUGGAGGUGAAAUCCCCGGGCUCAACCUGGGAACUGCCUCCAAAACUACUGAGCUAGAGUACGGUAGAGGGUAGUGGAAUUUCCUGUGUAGCGGUGAAAUGCGUAGAUAUAGGAAGGAACACCAGUGGCGAAGGCGACUACCUGGACUGAUACUGACACUGAGGUGCGAAAGCGUGGGGAGCAAACAGGAUUAGAUACCCCGGUAGUCC
rnacentral:rRNA from 1 species